UUCAGCUCCGCCAGGCGCAUUCGCAGCUCGCGGCCCAGCUCCUCGUGGUCCACAGGCCCGAAGAGGCUGCGGCAGGCGCUGCUGCGCGCUAUCACUGGGAAGGUAUCGCUGGAAGCCAAGCGUUCCAUCGCUGUUCUGCUGCGGAGGGACGCGGCAGCUACCUGGCUGAUUGGUGGUGGACGGCUCCUGCGUCUCGAUCGCUUGUCCUGUCCAGCUUGGGCCGCGCCCCCUCGGAGCUUGCCUGCCUGUUCGCUUGCUCUCAGUCGGGCCUAGCCGGCACCCCUCGAGCACAGCGCACUCGGCCUGUGGAACGCCCAGCCCGCUGCGCCCCUUUAUACGCGCUGGCCCCACCCCCGCGCGCGCGGGCCUCCUCACGAUUAGCAUAAUGUAGUAUUUUCAGUUUCAACAACACCGCGGCGAUAGGCCGAGACACCCCGCCCCGCCCACAGAGGCCCGGCCCCCUAGACUCGCUCAUUGGCCGCGUGCACACACCCCCGGGGCCGGGCGGGGCCGGCGAUGGGCGUGCGCUGAUUGGCGGCCGCGCUGUGAGCGGGCUGCGCGGGACAGGGGGCGGGGCUCGAGUUAAAGAGCUCUGCGGGCGGUAACGUGACACCGCGACGCCCCUCCUCCUCGCCCCAUCCCCCCCCGCCCCCCGCGGGCUCCUUUGUCUGCAGGCGGGGGCUUGCGCAGCCGCGACGCGCGCGCCCCCUCGGACCCUGAAGCUGGGCACUGCCCCUCGGCGAUACUGGCGUCGGUGCAGGUCCUUCGGUCCCCACGGCCUGUGCUCUCACUAGGGCUGCGCCAGCUGAUAGGGCUUUAAACCAUCUCUACCAGCUGGGUCCUGGCCCUGGCAGGACCAUGGCUGGAGCUGCCCUCUGCACCCAGACCUGUGUCCUUGCCUUCGUUCGAGGUGUCUGAACACCUGCUGGCACUAAGAGCCUCCAACAAGGAGGUAGAGACAGGGAUCAGCUCCAUUCUUUUCCGGAGGGACAAUAUUGUGGAGGUCUUGGGGGCCUGACCAGUAGCCUGAUCUAUGUGGGUUCGCCUACCCAGAUGAGACAUAAACUGUUCCAUCCUGGCCUGUACCUACAUCACGACACUGCUAUAUGCCCAGGACCCGUCAGGCCAUAUCCAGGCACCAGUUCUGCCUGCCUUGGUUGACUGGAAGUAGUUGUGCUGGGAAAGAGGGGAAGACCCACCCCUCCUCCACAGCAGUGCCUCUUGGUGGGGCCCUGUGUACUCACACAAACACACCCCGACUGCGACGGCAGACCCCCACCCCCACCCCUGCCGCCAAAAGAAGUCCAUUAUUUAGGGCAGGGAGUCCAGAAGGUGACUCCGGCAUGUGCCAGGAGCAGGCCCCCUCCCCCGCCGUGGGGAACCAGGACUUCCGGCCAUACUUGAAAGGCCGUGCAGAGCCCCCAAGCUCUCCCCUCCCAGCAGAGACUGCCUCUGAGAAUUCGGAGACAGAAACCUAUUUGCAGUGGUUAGGUAGUUCGGAACAACCAGGAAGGCGAGUGGUCGAUAAGAGGUCUUCAAACCCUGAAGCCAGGUGCCAGUGAAUAGGUCGUCCUGGAACAGAUGAGAGACAGGGUUUGGAAUGCCUGUGACCUGUGAGGAUGUCUUUUUCUCAGUACACCACUUUACAAAUCUCUCAGGACAUUGGUAAGUCACGAUAUUGUUCUUGAGUAAAGUCAAACUAACGAAGGCUUCUGAGCCCCUCACUAAAGGCUAAAAUCAACUAGUCCAGGGUCACAAGGAGUCAGUUCUGAGUCCUCAACCAGAGACCCCUGGGCACAGGACCACGCUUGUUAGUGACCACCUGGCUCCCAGGGUUUCCCCAACAGUCCGAAUACCCAGGCUACCGCUGUCAAAGAUGGCAGGAACAGAGAAGGCCCACCCUGCCCACAACCCAGGCCAAAAGCUGCUGUGAGGACUGGACACUCCCUAUGGUGCAGAACCGCCGUGCCCUAUUAGUUAGGAGAAGCAGUAAAGGUACCCAGGUGAGCUGUGCAGACUGCCUCACUGGGCAUCAGCCUGGCUAGAACAUCCCCACCCUAAGGUUGUCUGUCUUGUUUGCUUUCUACUUUUUGUUUGUUUUAUGUUGUUGUGGUUUUUUUGUUUUUUUGAAACAGUUUCUCUAUGUAACAGUUCUGGCUGUCUGGGAGUUCACUUAGUAGACCAGACUGGUCUUGAACUCACAGAGAUCCGCCAGCCUCUCUGCCUCCCAAGUGCUCGGACUAAAGGUGUACGCAUCACUGCCUGGCUGCUUUCUACUUUUUUAUUACUGUUUGAUCAGUCUAUUUGUCCCACCUCAACCCAGGGGAAGUGACCACUCUGCAAGUCUAUCAAGGACAGCAUGCACAGAUUUGGUAGGCACACUGGUUCCAGGAGAAGGGCCCAGUCCCACACCUAGCCCGCCAGCCCAUGAAGUCUGCACUCUUCACCCAUAGCCUUGAGCAGUGUGUCCAGAGCUUCUCCAGAUCACCUGGGAAAAGCGCACAUCUAAGUCCAGAGACCAGUUUGUGCCGCGGAUCUCUGGCAAAAUUUCAUGCGCACCCGUUUAGAUGACGACCACGGGAG